UGAAUACAUAGGUGCAAGAGGCGAACCAGGGGAACUGAAACAUCUAAGUACCCUGAGGAAAAGAAAUCAACCGAGAUUCCCUUAGUAGUGGCGAGCGAACGGGGGCUAGCCCUUAAGUGGCUUUGAGAUUAGCGGAACGCUCUGGAAAGUGCGGCCAUAGUGGGUGAUAGCCCUGUACGCGAAAAUCUCUUAGUCAUGAAAUCGAG
rnacentral:rRNA from 1 species